GACGAACGCUGGCGGCAUGCUUAACACAUGCAAGUCGAACGGGAAGUCCCUGCUUUUUUGGGGUGCUCUACUUGCGAACGGGUAAGUAACACGUGAGUAACCUGCCCUUGACUUUGGGAUAACUUCAUAAAGCUUGAUCUAAUACCGGCUAGGAGCUCCUGCCGUUGGGUGGGGGUGGGAAAGUUUAGGCGGUUGGUGAUGGACUCGCGUCUUAUCAGCUUGUUGGUGGGGUAGUGUCUUAGCAAGACCUGGCCCGGUGGCCGGCCUGAGAGGGUGACCGGAUCAACUGGGAUUGAGCUACGACACAGACUACUACGGGAGGCAGCAGAGGGGAAUAUUGUACAAUGGGAGGAAGGAUGAUGCAGCACCGCAGCGUGCGGGAUGACGGCAAUCGGGUUGUAAAGCGCUUCCGUCUGUGACGAAGCGUGAGUGACGGUAAUGGGUAAAGAAGCACCGGCUAACUACGUG
rnacentral:rRNA from 1 species